ACCCAGUUUUCUCAGUGGUUAGAGCAUUGGCCUGUGGACCCAAAGGGUCCAGGGUUCGAUUCCUGGUUAGGGCA
rnacentral:tRNA from 1 species